AUGGAUCUACCGCAUACUAUGAUCCCAAAACACGUUCGUAUCAUAUCGUAUCAUUUCAAAUGUAUUUUACAUUACCCAUGGAAUGAAAUGGAUUACGGAUUGUUUGAUUUUUUGCUGUUGAAAAGUCACUCAGCACAGCUAAAAAAAGAAAAAUCUUGGACAGGCAUUAUUUGCGCGACCAACUGAGGCUAAACCUAGCUCUUCCCUGACAUACAAAAAUAUGAUCCCAAAACACUUUCAUUGGAAACUCAUAUUACAACAUUACCCUUUAACGUUGCCAUUUAGCUAAUGCUGUCCUAGUAAUGGGAAUAUUUGGCCUGCUAGCACCUCGCUGUUAGCCUGCGAACGCCAUGCUAGCAACAAACAAGCGGGGGUUUUCAAAGUUAGAUGGCGGACUUGAGAGGUGAGCUAAAUUAGGGCUAGCUAGGACGAGGCUAGUAGCAACGUAUAGAUGAAUUUAAAAUUAAACCAACGAGGGGGGAAAAACAUCCCUUAUUCUGCCCUCUACAGGGUCUUGGAGGUUAAAAUAAGUGAUUUUAAACUAAAAAGGUGAAAACCUUUCCGUUUGUUUGUUACCAUUUGAAUCAAAUUGCAUUUUUUU